AUGCUCGGCCAGCCGAGCGUCAUCGCCCGCCUCAUGGGCAUGGAGGACCACCACCACCACCACCACACGACGUUGCCGGCGACGGCGAUCGUCCACGCCCCGGAGCGAACCACGACGAUCAGCCUGCUGAGAGCGUCGUCGUCCCAGGGCGAGCAGCCCAAGUGCGGCCCGCUCGGCGCCCACCACGGCCGCCGCAUCGGCGGGGAGUACUACCGGUACUGCCUCAACAAGAUGAAGCCGCGGCGGAGGCGAGCCCGGCGCGAUCGCCGCCGCCGCGAGCAUCCGCAGGAGGAGCUGCUGGAGAAGAUCAAGGAGGACUUCCGCGCGUCCUGGCAGCUGGCCUCCACGGCCACGCCGCCAAUGGGGACGGAGGAGGAGGAGGGGGUAGUGACGUCGGGGAGGAGGAGCGGUGGUCGGGUGGCCGGGCUGUUGGACGGCCGGUGCAUCCAGAGGAUCGCGCAGGAGAACCUGCGCCGGGAGAAGAUGGCCAGGUACGGCUAUGGCGGCCGUCAGAGCACCGUGGAGGUGGAGGAAGACGAAGGUAUCAAGGCGCUGGUGGUUGGCCUGAAGAAGAAUGAUGAAGAGGCAGAGCAGCGCCAUGGUGGUUCAGAAGUUGCAGCGUCUGAAGAAUUCUCGGCUGAACAUGAUGAGAUGAGCAACACGUCGGAGAAGCUGCGCGGCAUGCCGGCGACACGGAUAGCGAUCCUCAGGCCGGCCACUGGUGCUACUCUCGGUGCCGCCGGGGAUCAUCGGAACGCCGUUCCGACGCCGUCAUGGAAGGCGGUGCGGGACGGGGGCAUGGACAUGGAGGACUUCCUCCGGGAGGUGAAGGAGAGGGCCGAGAGGCUCAAGGCCGCAACGAAGGCCAAGACCGACGGCCCAGGCGACGUCGUCGCGAAGGCGAGGCGAGGCUGGGGAAGCGUCGGCGACGGCCCGGAGCGAACGGCACAGGACACGGCGAGGCAGAUCAGGGAGGCCGUCGGCAAGAGGCUGAGCCGGCUGGAGUCCUUCCGCGUCUUCCGAGGCGACCGCGGCCGGCGCGACGGCUCGCCGUCCCCGGAGCACCGGAUGCUGAGGAGCGUCAUGGCGAGGACCGAGGCCAUGUCGCCGACGAAGGUCACGGGCAGAGGACCGAGGGGCAGCAGGUGGUCACCGUUGCGGGCAGGCGCUGGCGUAAACGGCCGGCAGAGCCCUGACCGCGACCCGCGUCGGAGUCCGGCGAAGCUGCACGACGACGGCGUUGACUUUAUUGCUGCGUCGCCGCGGGCGCUGCUCCGGUCGUUCUCUGCCCCGGCGGCGGGGUGUUCUUCGGACGCGUCGUCUGAAGGCGAGCAGAAGAUGGUGGGCCGGAGCAGAAGCUUCAGCAUUUUCAGAGGGACGGUGGCGAGUAUGAGGCAGAGCCUCUGCCUCUGCCUGGGCGGAGGAGCAGGGAAGCUGCUGCUGAUGCAUCUGUCCAGGAAGAAGCCUUCCUCUCCGGCGCCUCCUAGCCCGGUGUCGCCGUUGGAGGUCCACGGCGGGCGACAUUUCUCCGGCGAUCUCAACUGCACGUUCCUCCCAGAGUCGAGCCCGAGGUGGAGUCCCAGGUGUUCGUCGGAAUUCGAGGCGUCCGUGGGCGGCGAGUCGCCGUGGGAAUGGAAGGCCGACGCCGCGGCCGAGAGCGAGGACCCUGACACGGCGUACGUCAGGGAAGUGCUCGUCGCCGCGGGGCUGUUCGACGACGACGACGACGCGGCGGUUGCGAGGACGGACUCGAUCGCCAUCUCCGACGACGUCUUCGAGGAGGUCGAGGACGGGUACUACUACCGCCGCCUCCGGCGCCGCGACGACGGCGCAGGAGAGGAGGAGGAACUCGGAGCGGCGGACCGCCGCAGGCUGCUCUUCGACCUGGCCAACGAGGCGCUGCAGGCGGGCGCGAGGAGUGCCGUCUCUUCCUCGUCGCCGUCGUGUCUGCGCCGGUGGGUCGUCGAGUGCAACAACGGCUCGCCGCCGUCGUCGCGGGUGCGAGGGAGGGAGCUGGAAGACGAGGUGUGGCGGCACGUGGCGCGGGCGACGGGGGACGGCACGGCGGAGCGCGAGGUCGGGAGGUCGCCGUGGGUGCCGGAGGCGCUGUGCGGGGACGCCUGCGCCGUCGGGAGGAAGAUCGAGCGCGCCAUCUUCGACGAGCUGGUCGGCGACGUCGUGCGUCAGCUGUUUGUCUGA
rnacentral:rRNA from 1 species